UACGGGGGGGGCAAGCGUUGUUCGGAAUUACUGGGCGUAAAGGGCUCGUAGGCGGCCCAUUAAGUCAGGCGUGAAAUCCCCAGGCUCAACUUGGGAACUGCGUCUGAUACUGGUUGGCUUGAAUUCGGGAGAGGGAUGCAGAAUUCCAGGUGUAGCGGUGAAAUGCGUAGAUAUCUGGAGGAACACCGGUGGCGAAGGCGGCAUCCUGGACCGAUAUUGACGCUGAGGCGCGAAAGCCAGGGGAGCAAACGGG
rnacentral:rRNA from 1 species